rnacentral:rRNA from 1 species
CCUACGGGAGGCUGCAGUGAGGAAUAUUGGUCAAUGGGCGCGAGCCUGAACCAGCCAAGUCGCGUGAGGGAGGACGGCCCUACGGGUUGUAAACCUCUUUUGCCUGGGAGCAACGUGCGCCACGUGUGGCUUCACUGAGAGUACCCGGAGAAAAAGCAUCGGCUAACUCCGUGCCAGCAGCCGCGGUAAUACGGAGGAUUCGAGCGUUCUCCGGAUUUAUUUGGUUUCAAGGGUGCGUAGGCGGGUCGUUAAGUCCGUGGUGAAAUUGAGGGGCUAAACCCCUUCCCGCCAUUGAAACUGGGGUUCUUGAGUGGAAGAGAAGUAUGCGGAAUGCGUGGUGGAGCGGUGAAAUGCAUAGAUAUCACGCAGAAGCCCGAUUGCGAAGGCAGCAUGCCGGCUUCCGACUGACGCUGAAGCACGAAAGCGUGGGGAUCGAACAGGAUUAGAUACCCUGGUAGUC